CAAAGAUUUGGUCCUAGCCUUACUGUUAUUUUUUGCUAAGCUUACACAUGCAAGUAUCAGCACACCAGUGAAAAUGCCCUAACAGUCCCACCAGACAAAAGGAGCUGGUAUCAGGCACACCAUGACAGCCCAAAACACCUAGCUUUGCCACACCCCCAAGGGUACUUCAGCAGUGAUAAAAAUUAAGCAAUAAGCAUAAGCUUGACUUAGUUAUAGCAAACAGAGUUGGUCAAUCUUGUGCCAGCCAAAUCUCUAGAGGAUCCCCGGGUACCGAGCUCGAAUUACACAAAGAUUUGGUCCUAGCCUUACUGUUAUUUUUUGCUAAGCUUACACAUGCAAGUAUCAGCACACCAGUGAAAAUGCCCUAACAGUCCCACCAGACAAAAGGAGCUGGUAUCAGGCACACCAUGACAGCCCAAAACACCUAGCUUUGCCACACCCCCAAGGGUACUUCAGCAGUGAUAAAAAUUAAGCAAUAAGCAUAAGCUUGACUUAGUUAUAGCAAACAGAGUUGGUUAAUCUUGUGCCAGCCACCGCGGUUAUACAAGAAACUCAAAUUAACAAAAAAUCGGCGUAAAAUGUGACUAAAACUUCAAUCUAAAAAAUUAAGGUAACCCCCCCACUCAACUGUCAUACGUAAAAGUAUACAUUAACCCAUUAUGAAAAUAACCUUAAUGCUACAACAGAACUAUCUGAACCCACGAUCGCUAAGACACAAACUGGGAUUAGAUACCCCACUAUGCUUAGCCCUAAACUUAGAUAUUUAAUACACAAAAAUAUCCGCCAGAGAACUACGAGCAAAACGCUUAAAACUCUAAGGACUUGGCGGUACCUUAAACCCCCCUAGAGGAGCCUGUUCUAUAAUCGAUAAUCCACGAUUCACCUCACCAUCCCUUGCUAAUCCCGCCUAUAUACCACCGUCACCAGUUUACCCUAUGAGGGAUACAAAAGUAGGCAAAAUAACCAAAUACAGCUAACAAGUCAGGUCAAGGUGUAGCUAAUUGAGAUGGAAGAAAUGGGCUACAUUUUCUACACUAGAAAUUAAUUUACGGAAAGGAACUAUGAAAUAAGUCCCACAAGUAGGAUUUAGCAGUAAAUCGGGAUCAGAAUGCCCAAUUUAAGCCGGUCCUGAGGUGCGCACACACCGCCCGUCACCCUCCUCAAACAACUUAACAACAGUAAAUAAACCAACAAUAAAUAAACAGAUGAGGCAAGUCGUAACAAGGUAAGUACACCGGAAGGUGUACUUGGAACAUU
rnacentral:rRNA from 1 species